CCUUAUAGAGAGUGGCGGAGGGACAGGCCCUGUGAAGCCACGGCAACCUGCUUAUGCAAGGUGCUAAUUCCUACGGUUUAUCCGAAAGAUAAGG
rnacentral:ncRNA from 1 species